UACGUAGGGUGCAAGCGUUGUCCGGAAUUAUUGGGCGUAAAGAGCUCGUAGGCGGUUUGUCGCGUCUGCUGUGAAAACUCGGGGCUUAACCCCGGGCCUGCAGUGGGUACGGGCAGACUAGAGUGUGGUAGGGGAGACUGGAAUUCCUGGUGUAGCGGUGAAAUGCGCAGAUAUCAGGAGGAACACCGAUGGCGAAGGCAGGUCUCUGGGCCACUACUGACGCUGAGAAGCGAAAGCAUGGGGAGCGAACGGG
rnacentral:rRNA from 1 species